rnacentral:lncRNA from 1 species
UACACAUUUACUGGUUGUAUUUGUCUCUUUAACAGGGUACCCCAUGCCACCCAAUGUGACCCUGGUCAAAGUGAUGUACAACAGCCGACAGCGUAACGAGGUGGGGCUGGAGUGGCAGGUAGAGAACGAAGGAGGAGGAGGAGGAUGGACAGGUUUCAUCCUGCAGCACAUAUGGGUGUCAGAGCGACCAGGAAGGAGAGGCAGCAACAAUGAUUCAAAGCAGGAGAUGGAGGAGAGGAUCAGUCCACCAGACUGGUACUCUAAUAUCAUCCAGGACCCAGAAGUCAGGAUCUAUACAGUAGGGAGACUGAUACCAACUGUUACCUACAAGUUCCGCAUCACGCCUGUCAACCACCGCACCGUCGGACAUCCUUCUGCUGCAAAGACUCCAGCGGAACCACGCUACAAUGUGUACCCUGCUGUGAUUGGAGCAGCUAUAGGCGGGAUGCUCUUUGCAGCCUUCCUAACAGCGCUGCUGCUCGUGUUCAUAAUCCGCAACCGCAACAACAAUCCUCGAUUACAUGACAUGCUGUUUGGUUUGCAGCAUAGCCAGUCAAGAGAAAACAUCAACUUCCCAGAGGAUGAAUUGGAAGGCAGGUCAGAGGGAGGAAUAGAGGAGAUUGGUGGAUCAUCCAGUCCAGGCAAGAUGCACCCACACUGCUCGCAUUGCCAGACCACAGCACUGUGGAGUAAGGUCUGGCUACACCACAGAUACAUUCUGGGAUAGGAG